rnacentral:lncRNA from 1 species
UCAAAAUCAUUAGCAUUGUAAAAAAGUAUGAUAGAAAAGUAUUAUAUUUUACUGACCGUCCCUAGAGCAAAUAGCAAAGAGCUUGAUGGUUGGUACUCGAGACCCAAGUUCAAAUCCUAGUCGAUUCAAAUUUUCAACUAAGUUUAUUUCUAAAUAAAAUAAAUAAAACGGAUAGCGUGCUAUCUAUCUCUCAAAAAAAAGAAAAAAAAUAUUACAUUUUUGUUUCCAUA